rnacentral:rRNA from 1 species
UCCCGGGAACGUAUUCACCGCGACGUUCUGAUUCGCGAUUACUAGCAACUCCGACUUCAUGCAGGCGAGUUGCAGCCUGCAAUCCGAACUGGGAUCGGUUUAUUGGGAUUUGCUCCGGAUCACUCCUUCGCUCCCCGUUGUACCGACCAUUGUAGCACGUGUGUAGCCCAAGACAUAAGGGGCAUGAUGAUUUGACGUCAUCCCCACCUUCCUCCGGUUUAUCACCGGCAGUCUCCUUAGAGUGCCCAUCUUUACUUGCUGGCAACUAAGGAUAAGGGUUGCGCUCGUUGCGGGACUUAACCCAACAUCUCACGACACGAGCUGACGACA